rnacentral:rRNA from 1 species
UACAGAGGUCUCAAGCGUUGUUCGGAUUCAUUGGGCGUAAAGGGCGCGUAGGCUGCGGGGCAAGUCGGGUGUGAAAUCUCAGAGCUCAACUCUGAAACUGCACUCGAUACUGCUUUGCUCGAGGACUGGAGAGGAGAUUGGAAUUCACGGUGUAGCAGUGAAAUGCGUAGAUAUCGUGAGGAAGACCAGUGGCGAAGGCGGAUCUCUGGACAGGUCCUGACGCUGAGGCACGAAGGCCAGGGGAGCAAACGGG